rnacentral:rRNA from 1 species
ACUCAAAUGAAUAGACGGGGACCCGCACAAGCAGCGGAGCAUGUGGUUUAAUUCGAAGCAACGCGAAGAACCUUACCAGGACUUGACAUCCCCCUGAAGACUAUGUAACGGUAGUCGCCUUCGGGCAGGGGAGACAGGUGGUGCAUGGUUGUCGUCAGCUCGUGUCGUGAGAUGUUGGGUUAAGUCCCGCAACGAGCGCAACCCUUGUCAUUAGUUGCCAUCAUUAAGUUGGGCACUCUAAUGAGACUGCCGGGGAUAACUCGGAGGAAGGUGGGGAUGACGUCAAAUCAUCAUGCCCCUUAUGUUCUGGGCUACACACGUGCUACAAUGGCCGGUACAAAGAGACGCGAAGGAGUGAUCCGGAGCAAAUCUCAAAAGCCGGCCCCGGUUCGGAUUGCAGGCUGAAACUCGCCUGCAUGAAGUCGGAGUUGCUAGUAAUCGCGGAUCAGAACGCCGCGGUGAAUGCGUUCCCGGGUCUUGUACACACCGCCCGU